UGGGGAAUAUUGGACAAUGGGGGCAACCCUGAUCCAGCCAUGCCGCGUGUGUGAAGAAGGCCUUCGGGUUGUAAAGCACUUUAAGCAGGGAGGAAGGCCUUGUGGCUAAUAUCCACGAGGAUUGACGUUACCUGCAGAAUAAGCACCGGCUAACUCCGUGCCAGCAGCCGCGGUAAUACGGAGGGUGCAAGCGUUAAUCGGAAUUACUGGGCGUAAAGCGCACGUAGGUGGCGGAUUAAGUCGGGUGUGAAAUCCCUGGGCUCAACCUGGGAAUUGCAUUCGAUACUGAUCGGCUAGAGUACGGUAGAGGGAGGUAGAAUUCCUAGUGUAGCGGUGAAAUGCGUAGAUAUUAGGAGGAAUACCGGUGGCGAAGGCGGCCUCCUGGACUGAUACUGACACUGAGGUGCGAAAGCGUGGGGAGCAAACAGG
rnacentral:rRNA from 1 species